rnacentral:rRNA from 1 species
ACCCAAUAGAUACCCGGGUAGUCCACGCCCUAAACGAUGUCAACUGGUUGUCGGGGAAGUUAUUCCUUGGUAACGAAAGCUAAACGCGUGAAAGUUGACCGCCUGGGGAGUACGGCCGCAAGGUUAAAACUCAAAGGAAUUGACGGGGACCCGCACAAGCGGUGGAUUAUGUGGAUUAAUUCGAUGCAACGCGAAAAACCUUAACCUACCCUUGACUUGUCAGGAAUCCCGCAGAGAUGUGGGAGUGCCCGAGAGGGAACCUGAACACAGGUGCUGCAUGGCUGUCGUCAGCUCGUGUCGUGAGAUGUUGGGUUAAGUCCCGCAACGAGCGCAACCCUUGCCAUUAGUUGCCACAUUCAGUUGGGCACUCUAAUGGGACUGCCGGUGACAAACCGGAGGAAGGUGGGGAUGACGUCAAGUCCUCAUGGCCCUUAUGGGUAGGGCUUCACA